ACACACACACAGGAUACACACACAGGAUACUUGUAUCUGUAACAGAGACCAUAUGCUGGUGCGGUUGGCCCUGGGUUCCUCCUAAUGCAAGACAAUGGUGGACCUCAUGUGGCUGGAGUGUGUCAGCAGUUCCUGCAAGAGGAAGGCAUUGAUGCUAUGGACUGGCCCACCUGUUCCCCAGACCUGAAUCCAAUUGAGCACAUCUGGGACAUCAUGUCUCGCUCCAUCCACCAACGCCACGUUGCACCACAGACUGUCCAGGAGUUAGCGGAUGCUUUAGUCCAGGUCUGGGAGGACCCCCGAGCUGACAAGGGGGCGAAGACUCAUUCCUCAAGGCCAAAGAGAGAUAGAUAGAAUUGCUGGUCAGCUUCCUUCUGCAAACCGCAAGCAGUGAGUGAAGUUCACAAGAAGUAUGAUAGAAGAGAAUCACACCUUCCUGUCAUGUUUUCCCUGCACUUUGACCUCCAUUUGAACUGCAAGUGAACCUUGUCGUGAAAAAUCCUAAUCAAGUGAGAGAGACUUUGUCACUUCUUCAAACAACCAUUGAUUAAUUAUUGCAAUAAUGUAGCUGGUCAACACCCCACCCGUAGGUGAUUCGUUGAGAGCCCAAUGAUUCUGAGUUGAGACUUGCCUUAUAUAGCCCAACCUUGUUACAUUUCCUUCAUCCACCACAACUAUAUCAAUGUGCCGAACCAACAGAUAUUCGGAGUCCUCUGUGUUCUUCUGCAAGUCCUAACAACUGUUUGUUCUUAGAAUAGAGGACAAGGAGAGACUUUAUUCAGAACAGAGACACCUCGUUCUGAACAUGCAGGUUUCAGAGUAUAGAGAACGGGCGUAAGAACACGAGAUGUGCAGAGCCGUGGUGAAUUAGGUACAGAGUUAUGUGAAAACAGCAACUUACACAUCCAGAGUAACAGGAUUGUACACACCUAUCAUUUAUAUAAACCUUAAAGUAUGCACAUUUUCCCCUUACAACCUCUUCUUAAUUAACAACCUGAAAAAGACAAUAGUUGAUAUCCCUUGUGACAGGCUUGGAAUGCAUCUCAAAUGGCAUCCUAUUCCCUAUAUAGUGCACUACUUUGACAUAUUGAGUCCUGUUGGCCCUGGUCAAAAGUAGUGCACUAAAUAGGAAAUAGGAUGCCAUUUGGGGGGUAACAUACUGCAGGCUACAGCUCAUUGAGAGAUGAGAGGUCUCUUAGAACAUGUUCUCAGUUGGUAGAGCAUGGCGCUUGUAACGCCAGGGUAGUGGGUUCGAUUCCUGGGACCACCCAUACGUAGAAUGUAUGCACACAUGACUGUAAGUCGCUUUGGAUAAAAGCGUCUGCUAAAUGGCAUAUAUAUUUGAAA